CCAUAUGUGCCUACUGAAGAUUUAAAAUGUGGCUAGUGUGACUGGGAGCUGAAGUUUCCAUUUUAUUUAGACUUAACUAGCUCAAAUUUAAAUAGCCACAUGUAACUUAUGGCUUGGUAUUGGAGGGCAUAGAAUAUCUAUAGAAAAUCAAAAGCAGUGGGUAAAAAAUGAGGAAUCAGAAGAAGUAUUUCAGAAAUGUGAACUAUUGUCAGCUGUGAAGGUUCCAAGUGCUUUCUAGAUGGUGUAUUUAUACCUCAAAUCUCUGGAACUGGGUAGCAGAAGACAUUGCCUGGGGACUAUAUAAUUCAGCUCUGAUGGGGAUAUACAAUGACAAACAGAGGUAAAGUUAACCUCUACCUGUGGUUCAGGAGGAGGAGCGCACCCUGCCUUCUGUCCCUAACCUGCUCAGAACAUCAUCGACAAUGAGCUGUCUGUGCUUGAGAAGAUCUGCAGAACCAUGAGAAUGAAGAGAACUUCAU
rnacentral:lncRNA from 1 species